rnacentral:rRNA from 1 species
UAGGGAAUCUUCGGCAAUGGACGAAAGUCUGACCGAGCAACGCCGCGUGAGUGAAGAAGGUUUUCGGAUCGUAAAACUCCGUUGUUAGAGAAGAACAAGUACGUUAGUAACUGAACGUCCCCUGACGGUAUCUAACCAGAAAGCCACGGCUAACUACGUGCCAGCAGCCGUGGUAAUACGUAAGUGGCAAGCGUUUUCCGGAUUUAUUGGCCGUAAAGCGAGCGCAGGCGGUUUCUUAAGUCUUAUGUGAAAGCCCCCGGCUCAACCGGGGAGGGUCAUUGGGAGCGGGACGUCUUGAGUGCAAAAGAGUGGAGGGGAAUUCCAGGUGUGGCGGUGAAAUGCAUAGAUAUAUGGUGGAACACCAGUGGGGAAGGCGGCUCUAAGAUCUGUAACUGACGCUGAGGCUAGAAAACGUGGGGAGCAAACAGG